CUCUGAUCUUAUUCGAUCCAGGAGGAAGAUUCCGUCUUUCCGAUUCUGAUGUCUUAAAGGACGAAUUUUGGUUAAUUUUAUGAUUAGGGUUUCCUCUGUUCGUUAUUCCUAAUCAGCAUUUAAAAGUUCCGUUCUUAUUGCUUUGUCCGCUUUUGCCGUUUUCAAAGUGCUCAUGAUGGAUAUUAUGAUGCUUCGAUUGGUUAAAGUUCCGGUUUUUAUGAUACCCCAGGAGUCAAAUCACAGAUUCUGCUCAGAUUGUAUCCAGGGGAGGCGCGUCUGAUGGGGUUUUAAAGAUUUGUCAAGUCACUGGUAGUUAGUGUUACUUGUUGAGAGUCACGAAGAUCUUGAUGGGUUAUUACAAAGAUGUCGACUACAGUUGCAUUUACAUUGGAAUUGCAAUGUUGUCCACUAUCGUCGUGAGUCUUAACAAGUAACAAAAUCACUCUGCUAGUGACUCGACAAUCCCAAAUUUUCUAGCCGUGUGCUUCGGAACCAGGUGAAGAAUUAUAAGGGCUUGUACAAUGGUUCGAUCAGCAAAGGUCUUGACCAAGUAUAUGCAAUGGCGAUGUGCAUCGAUGGGAGUGAACCAAAGGCUUGCUCUGAUUGCAUCAACGUCGCGGCUCGCCAGCUAAUAAACAUAUGUUCUAAUCAUACUGAAGCGUAUACAUGGACACCUCAUUUAACGCUUUGUUUUGCACGCUACUCUAACCGUUCGUUAUCUGAAACGCUCCUAAUGCACCCGCGUUACGCAGAGUACAGUAAUGGGGCUAUCAAGUCAAAUCCUGAUGAGAUUGGGGAUAUAUGGGAUGAAUCAGUAAAUGGAAUGAUAAGUGAAGCCCUGCUCAAGAACACAUCAUUUUCAAACCGUAAAUUCUACUCAGCUGGUAGAAUAUCCUUGCCAAAGUUCCAGACUGUGUAUGCAUUCGUGCAAUGCACUCCGGAAUUAUCGUCGUUGGAUUGUGGCAAAUGUCUCCGAGAUAGUCUUGGUGAUUAUAAUAAGGACGCAAACGUCCGUGGGAAGCAAGAAGGCAUUAUUGCAUAUCCAAGCUGCUUUUUCCGGUGGGAUCUUUAUCCCUUCAGCGGAGCUUUUAAUCCUACGUGCAAAAAAAUAUCAAGGGGAAUCAUCGUGGCGUUUGUUGUUCCUACUGGUAUUGUCAUCGCUGUAUUGUCUGCUGCAGUAGCGGUACUUGUUUGCAGAAGGCAAAAAACUAAUCUUCCAGACGAAAGUCCAUCUACAAACUCACUUCAAUACGAUUUGAAGACAAUUGAAGCUGCAACGUGUACAUUUUCUAAGAGAAACAUGCUCGGUCAGGGUGGAUUUGGAGAAGUUUUCAAGGGUGUUCUUCAAGACGGGUCAGAAAUUGCAGUGAAGAGGCUCUCUAAAGAAUCAGUACAAGGUGUACAAGAGUUCAAGAAUGAGACGAGUCUCGUGGCAAAGCUUCAGCACAGAAAUUUGGUUAGCGUUCUUGGGUUUUGUAUGGAAGGAGAAGAAAAGAUACUUGUUUACGAGUUUGUUCCUAACAAAAGCCUCGACCAUUUCUUGUUCGAACCUACAAAGCAAGGCCAGCUGGAUUGGGCUAAACGGUACAAGAUUAUUGUUGAGACUGCUAAAGGAAUUCUAUAUCUUCAUCAUGACUCACCUCUCAAAAUCAUACACCGUGACCUCAAAGCUAGUAACAUCCUCUUAGAUGCUGAAAUGAAACCCAAAGUUGCAGACUUUGGAAUGGCAAGGAUUUUGGGGAUGGAUCAAUCUCGAGCCGAUACAAAGAGGGUCGUUGGAACCUAUGGCUACAUUUCUCCGGAGUACAUGAUGCAUGGCCAAUUCUCGAUGAAAUCUGAUGUCUACAGUUUUGGAGUCUUGGUUCUUGAAAUUAUAAGUGGCAAGAGAAACAGUAACUUCCACGAAAUUGGUGAUUCUGGCAAGACUUUGGUCACACAUGCUUGGAGGCAUUGGAGGAACGGGUCACCAUUAGAACUCGUGGAUGCAGAAAUUGGAGGGAAUUAUCAUAGUAAUGAAGUUAUUAGAUGCAUCCAUAUCGCGCUAUUAUGUGUUCAAACUGAUCCAGAACAGCGUCCGAGUUUAUUGACCAUUAGUGGAAUGCUCAACAGUGACACGAUCACUUUACCGGUGCCUCAAUCACCGGUAUAUGAAGGAUUGGAGAUGGGUCUACCUCCGAUCACAUCUGUUCCUGUUUCUACCAAUGAUUCGUUGAUUAAUGACUUAGUUCCUCGUUGAAGAUGACAGUUCAUGAGUUCAAUCCGGAAUUUUAAUCGAAACAGUGAAAUGUCUUUUACAGGUUAACUAUCUUCAAGCUAACUUUGAAGAUAAACCAAUGUACAAUUUUAACUAAACCACUGAAAGAGAAAACAAGAAUUUUGCUGUUUGCUCACUCUGUCUGCCUCAUCCAUUCCCGUGCUUAUCCUUUGUUGUGUAUUUACUUUGUUCUGUUCGACUCCAUCUAGGAUUGGAGCUUUUUUGUGUGUUGGUUGAGGAUUAGAGAUUGAAGGUUUGGUUUCACUAUUUUGGUAUUUAAUUUGGGAUUCUGAUGUAUAGGUCUGAAUGUAUUGAAAACGAAUUUUCAUGUUAAUUAUUGGUGUUGAAGGUUGUUUGUUGACGUCUUUGAAGGAAUCAGUUGAAUUGAUUCAGUUCUUCGACUUUAUGUUUCCGACAGAGAAUUUUCGUCUGUUUUUUUAUUGAUUUUCUACGAAUCUGCCAAUCUGAUGUAGCAUAAGAUAUGCAUAUAUACUAAGGAAUUUUCAGGCCAUUUCACAAUCUACUUGCUUAAAUUGCCUGAAUCAUUGGAAGCUCUGGACGCCAUCAGACAAGAAGUAUUUUCAGUGAUUUUGGACUCAAAAAUUAUAUGACAUGAAACACAUGAACAGUAAGUCAUUUGCCUGCUAAAACGGGGAAUUAUUGAGUUCGGUUAUCAUAAUUCCGAAUGUUAACGUAGAAUAAGAGUAGCAUACUAAGGAAUAGUCAGACCUUUUCAUAAUCUACUUGCUUAAGGGCUCGAGGUAAAUAGCUUUAAUCAUCAUCAUUUACUUCCGAGUGGGGUCUCUGUGUGUCUUGUCAAGGUCUUGUUGCUCUAUGUCUCAUCUUCUCUCUCAUGGAAAAUCUGCAGGAAAAAACACAACGCGGUUUAAGAAUUGUCCAAGUCAAGGUCUCAUCGUCUCUGUCAUGGAAAUCUGCAGAGAAAAUUCACAGCUCCUCCAUCGGCCAAGAUCCCAACCGAAUCUUCGUCAUUGGCAUGUGCAUCCCUGGGACUAAACCAGAGAAAUGUUCAGAUUGCAUCAAAGGCUCAGCAGACGGCUUGUUACGGAGCUGUCCUAACCAAACUGUUGGUUAUGUAUGGCCAGAUUGUUGUAUGGUUCGUUAUUCCAACAUUUCCUUCUCAGGAACACUCGUUAUGGAACCAUCGAUGUUGAUUUGACAGUGUUUGAUAGAAUCUGGGAAGAGUUAAUGCUCCGUACGAUCACUGCAGCUUCAAAUGGAUCGUCAUCAUUUGGACAUAAUUACUAUGCAGCUAAGGUUGCUUCAUUGACAACUUUCCAAACUAUAUUCGCGAUGAUGCAAUGUACACCGGAUGUUUCUUCAGGGGACUGU